rnacentral:lncRNA from 1 species
UUUGUAUCAAAUAAACAUAGAUACCAGCAAUUGCUAUCAGCCUUGAAAUUGGAACUUUCCUAUGUAAAUGCAAUGUUGCUUUGGCUAUUAUUGUGGGGGGCGAUAUUAUUAGUCCCACAUCGAUUGUGAGUCAAGGAGUUUAACUUAUAUAAAAUGUGUGAUACCCCAAACCCAGUUAAAUAGCCGCAUGAAUCUUAAAGUAAUAAAAAAUAAAAAAGAAGAGAGAGAAGACUCCCAAUGGAGUCUUUCCUUCCUUCUAUUGAUUUUUCUCCUGAUAGACUCUCGAUCAGAGUCGAAGUUAGAGGCC